rnacentral:lncRNA from 1 species
UGGCGAGUGUGAUUCCGCAGUCUUGGGCUGUUUGGCCAAGCGCCCGCCGGACAUGGUACGCCGAAGGGUCAUCGGCGUGGAGUCCUCGCUUUCAGCGUCCGCGGCUGGGAAAUCGGCCAUCGCUACGGCGGGAACUGGGACUCGGGCUGCGUCCCGGCCCUUCCACAUCGGUCCACCGCACUCGUGGGCGCCCGCAUUGGUGCUGACAUAAUUUCCUGACCUCUGACCCGUAUUGUCUCGCGAUUAAAGAGCUGCGCCUGGAUCCCUCAGCAGUGAGGAGACCUGAAGACCAGAGGAAACACAGCAAGUCCAGGCACUCCCACUCCUCCUGAGAGAAAUCUACAGCCACAUCCCUGAACAUCAUCAACUGUUGGAAAGAAUAAUUCCAAGUAUUAAUGGGGCUCACCAGAGAAGACAGGGCAAGGUGAGGGGGAUCUCCUAGCAGAGGAAACAACAUGCGCCAAUCAAGCAAAGAUAUUUUUGUGCAUUCAAGGAACACAGAGAGGAAAGACAGUGGCAGAUGGAGACGUAUAAAGCAGGGAUCCUGUUAUGAAAAGCCCUAAAAAAUAGGGUAUAGAGUUUGGGCCAUAUUUCAGAGGUAAUAAGAAAGCAUUCUGCAUUUUUAAAGUAAGGUUUAAAAAUGUUUCUAAUUAGAGAUACAGCAAAGUUGGUGUGAGAGGAUAAAGACUGAUAUACAUAAUCUGAGGAGUUCAUGAAAAUUCCAUGUAAAGCCUGUAGUAUGAAUUGGUCCUAGGAGACAGACAGCUUCAGGGGCAUAGAGAACUUUAAGCACUUUUCCAAGAAGAGUGAAGGGCUGGAGAAUAAAUUGUGAACUAAAAUAUAUUUUGUGUUUGAGAACAAAAAAAAAAAAAAA